rnacentral:lncRNA from 1 species
UCGGGUUACAUAUUCCACAAAAACUCGAUAUUUCCUAAUUGUUUUGUAAAUUUCUGCAUUAGAAAUUAAUCAGUCGCCCAUUUGCAUUAUUGAAAGUACAUAAAGUAAAGCUCGGGUUCACAUACUGUUUUUUGGUAUAUCUGCAGAUGCGGAUACGUAAACGUAUAUGAUACGGUUGAUACGUCUUUAAAUGACCGACCUCUA